UACGUAGGGGGCGAGCGUUGUCCGGAGUUACUGGGCGUAAAGCGCUUGUAGGCGGUCCACCAAGUUUGGGGUGACAGUUGCCGACUUAAUCGGCAAAGUGCCUCAAAGACUGGCGGACUUGAGGGCCACAGAGGGACAUGGAACUCCAGGUGUAGUGGUGAAAUGCGUAGAUAUCUGGAAGAACACCAAAGGCGAAGGCAGUGUCCUGGGUGGUCGCUGACGCUGAGACGCGAAAGCGUGGGGAGCGAACCGG
rnacentral:rRNA from 1 species